UGUAGUCAUAUGCUUGUCUCAAAGAUUAAGCCAUGCAUGUCUAAGUAUAAGCAAUUACAAAGCGAAACUGCGAAUGGCUCAUUAUAUAAGUUAUCGUUUAUUUGAUAGUACCUUACUACAUGGAUAACCGUGGUAAUUCUAGAGCUAAUACAUGCUGAAAAUCCCGACUUCGGAAGGGAUGUAUUUAUUAGAUACAAAACCAAUGCCCUUCGGGGCUCUCUUGGUGAUUCAUGAUAACUUCUCGAAUCGCACGGCCCCGCGCCGGCGAUGGUUCAUUCAAAUUUCUUCCCUAUCAACUUUCGAUGCUACGGUAUUGUCCUAGCAUGGUUGCAACGGGUGACGGAGGGUUAGGGCUCGACCCCGGAGAAGGAGCCUGAGAAACGGCUACUACAUCCAAGGAAGGCAGCAGGCGCGCAAAUUACCCAAUCCCGACUCGGGGAGGUAGUGACGAUAAAUACCGAUACAGGGCUCUUUUGGGUCCUGUAAUUGGAAUGAGUACAAUUCAAAUCCCUUAACGAGGAACAAUUGGAGGGCAAGUCUGGUAAUCG
rnacentral:rRNA from 1 species